rnacentral:tRNA from 1 species
UGGGGGAUGGUGUAACGGUAGCACAGCAGACUCUGAAUCUGUUUGUCAAGGUUCGAAUCCUUGUCCCCCAG